rnacentral:rRNA from 1 species
UACGGAGGGUGCAAGCGUUAUCCGGAUUUACUGGGUUUAAAGGGUGCGCAGGCGGACUAUUAAGUCAGUGGUGAAAGCCCCGGGCUUAACCUGGGAAUUGCCAUUGAUACUGGUGGUCUUGAGUACAGUUGAGGUGGGCGGAAUGCAACAUGUAGCGGUGAAAUGCUUAGAUAUGUUGCAGAACACCGAUUGCGAAGGCAGCUCGCUAAGCUGUUACUGACGCUCAGGCACGAAAGCGUGGGGAUCAAACAGG